rnacentral:rRNA from 1 species
UACGUAGGGUGCGAGCGUUAAUCGGAAUUACUGGGCGUAAAGCGUGCGUAGGCGGUUCGUUAAGUGCGUCGUGAAAGCCCCGGGCUCAACCUGGGAAUGGCGAUGGAAACUGGCGGGCUGGAGUAUGGCAGAGGGGGGUGGAAUUCCGGGUGUAGCGGUGGAAUGCGUAGAGAUCCGGAAGAACACCGGUGGCGAAGGCGGCCUGCUGGGCAGUAGCUGACGCUGAGGCGCGACAGCGUGGGGAGCAAACAGG